GAGCGAACGCUGGCGGCAGGCCUAACACAUGCAAGUCGAACGGAACCUUCGGGUUCAGUGGCGACGGGUGAGUAACACGUGGGAACGUGCCCUAUGGUUCGGAAUAACUCAGGGAAACUUGAGGCUAAUACCGGAUAAGCCCUACGGGGAAGAUUUAUCGCCAUUGGGAGCGGCCCGCGUCUGAUUAGCUAGUUGGUGAGGUAAAGGCUCACCAAGGCUACGAUCAGUAGCUGGUCUGAGAGGAUGAUCAG
rnacentral:rRNA from 1 species